rnacentral:rRNA from 1 species
GAUGAACGCUGGCGGCGUGCCUAAUACAUGCAAGUCGAGCGAACAGACGAGGAGCUUGCUCCUCUGACGUUAGCGGCGGACGGGUGAGUAACACGUGGAUAACCUACCUAUAAGACUGGAUAACUUCGGGAAACCGGAGCUAAUACCGGAUAAUAUAUUGAACCGCAUGGUUCAAUAGUGAAAGACGGUUUUGCUGUCACUUAUAGAUGGAUCCGCGCCGCAUUAGCUAGUUGGUAAGGUAACGGCUUACCAAGGCAACGAUGCGUAGCCGACCUGAGAGGGUGAUCGGCCACACUGGAACUGAGACACGGUCCAGACUCCUACGGGAGGCAGCAGUAGGGAAUAUUCCGCAAUGGGCGAAAGCCUGACGGAGCAAAGCCGCGUGAGUGAUGAAGGUCUUCGGAUCGUAAAACUCUGUUAUUAGGGAAGAACAAAUGUGUAAGUAACUAUGCACGUCUUGACGGUACAUAAUCAGAAAGCCACGGCUAACUACGUG